rnacentral:rRNA from 1 species
AGUGAACGCUGGCGGUAUGCCUAACACAUGCAAGUCGAACGGCAGCACAGUAAGAGCUUGCUCUUACGGGUGGCGAGUGGCGGACGGGUGAGGAAUACAUCGGAAUCUACUUUUUCGUGGGUGAUAACGUAGGGAAACUUACGCUAAUACAGCAUACGACCUACGGGUGAAAGCAGGGGAUCUUCGGACCUUUCGCGAUUGAAUGAGCCGAUGUCGGAUUAGCUAGUUGGCGGGGUAAAGGCCCACCAAGGCGACGAUCCGUAGCUGGUCUGAGAGGAUGAUCAGCCACACUGGAACUGAGACACGGUCCAGACUCCUACGGGAGGCAGCAGUGGGGAAUAUUGGACAAUGGGCGCAAGCCUGAUCCAGCCAUACCGCGUGGGUGAAGAAGGCCUUCGGGUUGUAAAGCUCUUUUGUUGGGAAAGAAAAGCAGCAGGUUAAUACCCCGCUGUUCUGACGGUACCCAAAGAAUAAGCACCGGCUAACUUCGUG